UGAGGAGCGUCUCUGCCUGGCCGCCCAUCGUCUGGGAUGUGAGGAGCCCCUCUGCCCGGCCGCCCCGUCUGGGAUGUGAGGAGCGCCUCUGCCCGGCCGCCCCGUCUGGGAAGUGAGGAGCGCCUCUGCCCGGUCGCUCCCUCUGAGAGGUGAGGAGCACCUCUGCCCAGCCGCCCUGUCUGGGAGGUGAGGAGCACCUCUGCCUGGCCGCCACCCCGUCUGGGAGGUGAGGAGCGCCUCUGCCCGGCCGCCCCGUCUGGGAAGUGAGGAGUGCCUCUACCUGGCCGCCCCAUCUGGGAAGUGAGGAGCGCCUCUGCCUGGCCGCCCCGUCUGGGAGAUGAGGAGCGCCUCUGCCCGGCCGCCCAACGUCUGGGAAGUGAGGAGCACCUCUGCCCGGCCGCCCCGUCUGGGAGGUGAGGAGUGCCUCUGCCCGGCCGCCACCCCGUCUGGGAGGAAGUGAGGAGCACCUCUGCCUGGCCGCCCCGUCUGGGAGAUGAGGAGCACCUCUGCCCGGCCGCCCCGUCUGGGAAGUGAGGAGCACCUCUGCCCGGCCGCCACCCCGUCUGGGAGGUGAGGAGCGCCUCUGCCCGGCCACCACCCCCUCUGGGAAGCAAGGAGCGCCUCUGCCUGGCCACCCCGUCUGGGAGGAUAAAUUUACCAGAGACAACUGGAAGAAAAAAUCUGGCCCAGAGUUCCAUGAACAAUUCAUUCUUCAACCAAAGACUGGCUCUUUUCUCUGGGAUGGCCAUCAUCUUCAGCCAAGGGUGUGGCAUAGGGGAGAUGAGAUGGGAAAUGGCACUGUCCAGCUGGUUGGAUGGGCCUGGUCCAUGGGGAGUGACAGAUGUCCGAGCCAGAGACCCAACAUCUGAAAGAAAGUCUGUGACUGAGAAGAUCAAUGCAUCUGAGCAUUAUUCAGCAGUACCACCACCUCUUUGAACCCUGUGCAAAGCACCCAUCAAGACUGAAAAAUAUCAUGAAGAGAAACAGUGAUUCACUUGGGAAAAAAAUUUAGCCUGCCCCUUCUCAAGACACAUGCUACUGUCCAAGAGCUACUCUACUGCGGUCCAUGGAUUAUUUUUAGUUAUCAAAAUUUUGAACCAACAAAUUAUUUCUGUAAUUUCAAGAAUGACUACAAUCUAAGUAAUCUUACCAAACCCACUCAACCUAAGAGCUGUAAUUACCUUUGGUGCUAUGCUGUUUUGACUAUUAGAGGUUGGUAGGCAAUAAUAGAUGCAUGAAACAGAUUGAGUUCCCAGAAAAGAAUGUUUUUGCCUUGUACAUUAUAAGCUCUAAAGGUGUAAAUGGCUUUAGUAUCAUCAAGAUCAUUAAAAAUUAAGAGUGAAUCAAGAAAAACCAACAAGUAUUUGGAAACACACUUGGCUUUGAAAGAGAAAGAAUUAUAUCAAAAUACAUUCUCAUAUUGCUUUCAGAGAAGGGCAAAGCUUGAAAUCACUUAGAAGGCUGAACCAUAUCACCACGACAAUGGAGUCAGAACUAACUGAAUCUAAAGGAACACGUCACCAACUAUUUAAAUAUUUCUUCUAAAUAAUUGACUCUUAAGCAGUAUUUCAAAAAUUAAGUGAUAGAAAAAGUAUAUAAUCAGGAAAUAUUCAUGUAUUAGCUGAAAAAAUCUGAGAUAUAAAUAAAUACAACACUUGAUCACACAAAUGAUUAGCAGGAAUCUACUGGAGGUUCCCAGAGAAAAUAAUUUCCCUUAUACAGCUGAAUGGCUACAUACCAAAAUUUAACUCUAAUUAAGGUUUAGUGAAAUCAUGUCAUACUACUCUUGCCAUAAGUCAGUGAUUCUUAAAAGCUUUUAAAAAUACAGAUACUAAAGUCCUCUCCCUAUAGCUUCUGACUUAUUAGGCUUGGUGGUGGGGCUUAAGCGUAUGUUUUCUUAAUAAAUUCCCAUUAAACACUUAUGCGCUGUUAGUGGGAAUAUAGAUUAGUUCAGACACUGUAGAGAGCAGUUUGGAGAUUCCUAAAAGCACUUAUAACAGAGCUAAUAUUCGACCCAGCAAUCCCAUUACUGGGUACAUACCUAAAGGAAAAUAGAUCAGUAUACCAAAAAGACACAUGCACUUUUAUGUUCAUGGCUGCACUAUUCACAAUAGCAAAGACAUGGAGUCAACCUAGGUGCCCAUCAACAGUGGAUUGGAUAAAGAAAAUGUGGUACAUAUACACCAUGGAAUACUUCACAGAUAUAAAAAGAAUAACAUCAUGUCCCUUGUAGCAACAUGGAUGGAGAUGGAGCCCAUAAUCCUAAGUGAAUCAGCAUAGGCAAAGAAAAUCAACUACUGCAUGUUCUCACUUAUAAGUGAGAGGUAAACAUUGACCACUCAUGGACAUAGACACGGGAACAAUAGACACUGCAGACUACUAGAGGGUAGAGAGAGGGAAGUAUGGGUUGAAAAAUUUACCAAUUGAGUACUAUCUUCACACCUGAGUGCAAUAUAUCCACAUAACAAACCUGCACGUGUUAUCUAAAAUAAAAGUUGGAAAAACAAAAACAAAGACAAAAAUUAAUAAAAACAAAUAAAUUCCCAUUCUCUAAAGGUAACCAAAGUUUGAAGACCACAGACUCGAUUAGAGGUUCUUAACUCUGGUUGCACAUUGUAGAUCCUUUGGAAACUUGGAAAAAUUCCUUGGCCCAGGCCCCAUCCCAAACAAAUUAAACAAAUCAAAUUAGAAUCAAACAAAUUAAAUUAGAAUCUUUGGAAUCCAAGUAUCAUUAUAUUUUAGAGGUCUUCAAGUCAUUAUAAUGGGCAGACAGGGUUGAGAACCACUGUGAUUAUUUUGACUUCUCACAAACUCAGCUCUGGUCAUUAUAAUCAUACUAGCAAUUUUUAUCUGAAGAUCUUCAACACAAUAAUUUAAAGGGAGAGAAAACUGCUAACUAAAAGUGGACCAUUGACACAUGGUCCAACAGCUCUAAACACAAUGGGGGAAAUGUAGCAUGCUUUUAUUCUGUUUAUAUAAGUCAUAGUCUGCAAAAAGCAAAUGGUAUUCUCUACCUAUGGUAUGCACAGUUAAAGUCAAGGCUUGGUCUGUAAUAUAUUUUAAUCUAAGGUAUUUAAAACACAUUAAAGAACUGAGGAACUUAUUAAACAUGCACUUUUUCUUUCAGAAAAAAUAUUCUGUCCUAUAUUCAGAAUCUUUAUUUAUGUAGCUAGCUUUGUUUGGGCAAUUUUGAAAUAAAGGUUCUCUUUAGUAGUUAUUUCUGAGAUAGAAACGAUAAAUAAUUGUUACUCUAUACAUAACUAAAAAAAAACCUUAUAUUCUCCUUUUCCUACUUAUAAUGAGAGUAGCGUUCAAUAGUUAUGUUGUUAUUGUUACACUGAUAUUUUUCUUAAUCCAGAGAUGCUUUCUUCCCACAGAAUUCACUGCAGCUAGAUCAGACACUUUCUAUAGGCUGUCUGCCCCGACAAGGAAAUAGCUUUUCUUAUUGAGCUCUUCUGCAGUGAUAUUUUUAUAAUGGAAUUUUGUCUGUAACCUAUUUGUCUCUAUUAAGCCCACCAGUUUCAAAAAAAAAAAAAAAAAAAAAAAAAAGCAGUUAUUUAGAUAGUUUACAAAAACUAAAGAAUUUUUAAUAUAGUUUAAAAACUAAAAUUGCUACACAAGAAUGACAUGGAAAUUGUGUACUGUAAAUACCUUACAAGUCUGGUUAUUUGUAAAGUAUCUGAUUCAAGCCUUAUGAAAAAACAAAUAACUUUUCUAAACCUGGGUUUUAUCUGUAAAAUUGGAGCAAUGAUGCUAUCUCUCAAUAUCCUCAUAGGGAUGUCAUGAAGGUAAAAAGGGGAAAGGCAGAUGAGGAAACUUGGCAAGCCAAUAUAUAAAAUAAAUUAAUUUAUUACUAUGAAAAUGCUGUAGUUGAGGAAAACAAUGGUAAAAUAAAAUAGUUAAUGUUAAGGAUUAUCACUAAUUUAUCAUUUUAAAGAAUAAAUUUAUUAAGAGAGCAGAGUUCGUCUAUUUUAAAUCAAUUUAAUUUUGGUCUCGAAUUAAAUACAAUCUAAUUCGGGGUAUUGUGAAGUGCCCGAAGUUGGAGACUAAUAGUUUAUUUAAAAUAAGGGAAGUUCUUGUUCUGAUUCUUUAAAACAACAGACAGCAACAGAAAAACAAAACAGCGAUUACAUUUGAGAGCCAGAAAAACUUUGAAAGGAAACGGAAACUUUUUAUAUGCAUCUGGUAUAAUAAUCAGAUCACUUAUGUUUGUCAUUUUGAGUGACUUUGGAAAUUAGGUACCAAA